CAGUCGCCGCGGGAAUACGUAGGGUGCGAGCGUUGUCCGGAAUUAUUGGGCGUAAAGGGCUCGCAGGCGGUUUCUUAAGUCUGAUGUGAAAGCCCCGGCUCAACCGGGGAGGGUCAUUGGAAACUGGGAAACUUGAGUGCAGAAGAGGAGAGUGGAAUUCCACGUGCAGCGGUGAAAUGCGUAGAGAUCUGGAGGAAUACCGGUGGCGAAGGCGGCCCCCCGGACAAAGACUGACGCUCAGGUGCGAAAGCGUGGGGAGCAAACAGGAUUAGAUACCCCCGUAGUCCCUGUCUCUUAUACA
rnacentral:rRNA from 1 species